AUCCCAGCAUUCCUAAAGGCCGAGCCGGACUAUGACUUCUAAGAUGUUGGAAAGACAGAGUCAUUGCCUGAGGAAAAGCUGACCAAAAAAAAACUGAAUGAAAGGAAUACCUAAUUCGAAAUGUUUAAUGGCUUGAGUAGUCAGAUAUGUAUAGUCAAAUAUACGCUAAUAGUGUUGGCUGGGAUUGAGUGAGUUUGGUGUGGUAGAAUAAUAGCUAGUCCUGUUUAUCGCAUGUGUAUCUCAAAAGCUCAUUUAAUUGUAGGCAUUAAAACU